GACGAACGCUGGCGGUGUGCUUAACACAUGCCAGUCGAACGGUAAGGCCCUUUCGGGGGUCCACGAGUGGCGAACGGGUGCGUAACACGUGAGUAACCUGCCCUCAUCUCUGGGAUAACAGUCGGAAACGGUUGCUAAUACUGGAUAUGAGCUUGCAAGGCAUCUUGUGGGUUGGAAAGAUUUUUUUUGGUUGGGGAUGGACUCGCGGCCUAUCAGCUUGUUGGUGAGGUAGUGGCUCACCAAGGCUUCGACGGGUAGCCGGCCUGAGAGGGCGACCGGCCACAUUGGGACGGAGAUACGGCCCAAACUCCUACGGGAGGCAGCAGUGGGGAAUAUUGCACAAUGGACGGAAGUCUGAUGCAGCAACGCCGCGUGCGGGAUGACGGCCUUCGGGUUGUAAACCGCUUUCAAUUGUGACGAAGCUUUUUUGUGACGGUAGCAGUAGAAGAAGCACCGGCUAACUACGUG
rnacentral:rRNA from 1 species